rnacentral:rRNA from 1 species
AGUGAACGCUGGCGGUAGGCCUAACACAUGCAAGUCGAACGGCAGCACAGUAAGAGCUUGCUCUUACGGGUGGCGAGUGGCGGACGGGUGAGGAAUACAUCGGACUCUACUUUUUCGUGGGGGAUAACGUAGGGAAACUUACGCUAAUACCGCAUACGACCUACGGGUGAAAGCAGGGGAUAUUCGGACCUUGCGCGAUUGAAUGAGCCGAUGUCGGAUUAGCUAGUUGGCGGGGUAAAGGCCCACCAAGUCGACGAUCCGUAGCUGGUCUGAGAGGAUGAUCAGCCACACUGGAACUGAGACACGGUCCAGAGUCCUACGGGAGGCAGCAGUGGGGAAUAUUGGACAAUGGGCGCAAGCCUGAUCCAGCCAUACCGCGUGGGUGAAGAAGGCCUUGGGGUUGUAAAGCCCUUUUGUUGGGAAAGAAAAGCAGCAGGUUAAUACCACGCUGUUCUGACGGUACCCAAAGAAUAAGCACCGGCUAACUUCGUG